rnacentral:lncRNA from 13 species
GCCAACUGGCUAGAUUCACUGCUAUGUGAGAGCCUUUUUAAGAUACAUGAUAAUAAAAAUCUCAUUGUCACUCUACUUUCUGAGAAAACCCCAGUCUGGGGUAGCUACAUGGGAAACACAGCAAUAGGUUUCCAGUAACACGGUGUCCCCAUUUGUCCUGGAGGUUCAGGGCAGGAAGCACUCAGGCACCCAGCUGGCCCAGCGGCCUCUCUGAUAAGGAGUGGGAGAAAAUGCCAGCCACGCGUUUCAUGACCCUCCCUCUGCUGGUUCCCAGAAGCACACGCUGAAGCCUCCCUUCCAGGGAAAGAAAAAGGCCACGUUUCUGAGAAAAACACAGUCACUUGAAAAAUAACCAAGCAUUCGCUGCACAUAAACCAUCUGCUGCGUGCAGACUACUGGGUGCAGCUGCGACGCGGAGGAGAGGGAAGAGGGCCACUCGGAGCGGCGGUGUAGUCUUUCUGGGACUGUCAGUCAUUGCAUCCCCGACGGGUCUGCCAGUCAUUCCACAACCACGAUUGCCGCCUUAGAUGAGGAGACCGCCGCAGCCUUCUGAGGUUAAGAAGGUGCCAGGCGUCUCUCGGAGUCACUCACCCAUCUUUUCAUCUGUUCACUCAGGACAGUUCAGGUAUUUGAGCCCAUGUUAUCUUCUUGCAAAUAAUGGAGAAUUGUACCACGAUAAUCUAUGCAAUCUCUGCUUAAUACAUGAGUAAGAAGAUGGACAUCUAUGUUCUUUCUUUUACCAGGACCUCACUAUAGGAAGAAAAAAAAAGUAAAGCAGCCUCUCAGGUAUCUCUGCUGGUCAGCAUCAUAGAGCAUAAAGGGUAUCUUGAUAGGAUACAUGUUAAAAACUUUGCAGUCAUACUCAAAAGUGGCAAAAUAUGGGACAUCAUACACAGUUUUAUAUUUUCUUUUAACGUUUAUUCUGAAGUCAGCAAUGUAAAGUAGUUUCUGAGAUGCACAAGUAAAUUAAAAGUCCACACAGGUGAGCAUCGACGUAUCCCUACUAUGUAUAUCUGUCUAGACUAUAACCGGAGCGGACUGCAGUGAAUCCCUUAAACCCUUCAUCUUCCUUUAGUCUCCUGACUGGUUCUACGUAAACACCUUUGCUAAACUGAAAAAUCCAACCAACUUACACAGGCUUCUCAGAUGUGAAUGAACAUCUUGUGAAUUGCCCGGCAAGCUGACAUUCCUUUCUAGACCUGGCACAUACCACUCUCUCCAGGUGGGCACGAACAAAGAAGAGGUUUGAAGUUAUGGAGGUGCAUUUUGCUGGGUCAAGAGGGGAGGUUAUUUUUUUAAAGGCUUAUGGAAAAAGGUAACCAUGUUUGUUCUCUCAUAUAAUCGCAUAAAGACUCUGCUAACGUUUCUGGUACAACAACCCUGCCGUGGUUAAUUUCCAGACGACGAAAGGUGAGAAGGCUGGAAAGAAAACCUCAUCCUGCAGUGUCUUCGGGCUCACAAUCAAUUUUAACAGAAUCUGCCCAUUGAAUCAUCCACAUCCUUUAAAAAAGAGACACGGAAAUCAU